rnacentral:misc_RNA from 1 species
UUUCCGUAGGUGAACCUGCGGAAGGAUCAUUACAAAUCUUUGGGGACUAGUCGCCGUGAAUAGCGGUGUGCUGGUCUCGCAUUAGCACAAGGUCGCAAGGCCUUGAUGUUUACGCUUGUAUGUUUGACAGAGUUAGUUUGAGAAUAAAUAAAGACAACUUUUAACAAUGGAUCUCUUGGCUCUC